GGCGGACGGGUGAGUAACGCGUGAGAAUCUGGCUUCAGGUCUGGGACAACCACCGGAAACGGUGGCUAAUACCGGAUGUGCCGAAAGGUGAAAGGUUAACUGCCUGAAGAUGAGCUCGCGUCUGAUUAGCUAGUUGGAAGUGUAAUGGACUCCCAAGGCGACGAUCAGUAGCUGGUCUGAGAGGACGAUCAGCCACACUGGGACUGAGACACGGCCCAGACUCCUACGGGAGGCAGCAGUGGGGAAUUUUCCGCAAUGGGCGAAAGCCUGACGGAGCAAUACCGCGUGAGGGAGGAAGGCUCUUGGGUCGUAAACCUCUUUUCUCAGGGAAGAACACAAUGACGGUACCUGAGGAAUAAGCAUCGGCUAACUCCGUGCCAGCAGCCGCGGUAAUACGGAGGAUGCAAGCGUUAUCCGGAAUGAUUGGGCGUAAAGCGUCCGCAGGUGGCUGUGUAAGUCUGCUGUUAAAGAGUCUAGCUCAACUAGAUAAGAGCAGUGGAAACUACACGGCUAGAGUACGUUCGGGGCAGAGGGAAUUCCUGGUGUAGCGGUGAAAUGCGUAGAGAUCAGGAAGAACACCAGUGGCGAAGGCGCUCUGCUAGGCCGUAACUGACACUGAGGGACGAAAGCUAGGGGAGCGAAUGGGAUUAGAUACCCCAGUAGUCCUAGCCGUAAACGAUGGAUACUAGGCGUGGCUUGUAUCGACCCGAGCCGUGCCGUAGCUAACGCGUUAAGUAUCCCGCCUGGGGAGUACGCCGGCAACGGUGAAACUCAAAGGAAUUGACGG
rnacentral:rRNA from 1 species